rnacentral:rRNA from 1 species
UACGGAGGGUGCGAGCGUUAAUCGGAAUUACUGGGCGUAAAGGGUGCGUAGGUGGUUUGAUAAGUUAUCUGUGAAAGCCCUGGGCUCAACCUGGGAAGGCCAGAUAAGACUGUGAGACUCGAGUACAGGAGAGGGCAGUGGAAUUUCCGGUGUAGCGGUGAAAUGCGUAGAGAUCGGAAGGAACACCAGUGGCGAAGGCGGCUGCCUGGCCUGAUACUGACACUGAGGCACGAAAGCGUGGGGAGCAAAC